rnacentral:lncRNA from 1 species
GUCCAGCCUGUAAGGCGGUGAGUAAGCGUAGAUUUGUAGCUGACUGACUGCAAAUUCUAAAGAAAAAAGGAUCAACAGAGUGCAGGCAAUAAAGCCAUAUGCUUAUUAAAUUAGACAUGAUGUUCAUGUUGCACGCUACAAAAACAAUAAAAUUGUAUUGAUCAUAUAAACCUGAAAAGGCAAGCAAAAUAAUGGUAAUGAUAAUAAGGAAAUGAAAGCCCUUGCUAAACUUUGGUGUUGCAGGUAUUUGUACGUUCCUACCCUGCCGAGGCUGGCCAGGUAGGUGGUAAGAACAUCAAGAACCAACCGUGGUAUUUUAUUGUUUUGCCAAAUAUUAUAUUAGGAAUAAGAAUCAAGAAGAAUGUGCCUUGCAAUAAGAAUGAUUGUUACUCACCUUACAAAUAUGUAGAUAUUGAAGGUUCUAUGGUGUCAAAAUCACAACUGUGCUCAUACAAAGCUCAAAGAAAACUACCUAUAAAUAAAAGAGGAUACAAAGGAAUCAGAGAAAUGUCUUAUACCAAAUAAUAGAAAAAACCAAAAUAGGCAGCAAACAUGCUAAAAUCCACCACUCAAAAAAUUUAUUGAUGAUGAGUAGAUAGGGACAAAGGGAGAACAUGAGGUUUCAGGUAGUCGUUCAUAACCAUGAACUGAUCACAUGCUUCCUGCAACAAAAUCAAGUGUCAGAUAUCCAAGCCACGAGCUGUACUAAUUAUGUCUGUUACAUAGGUUCACACUCCAAAGUCUAAAUAUGCAACAACACAUAUGGCUUAGUGGGAUUCAAAAGAAACAUUUUGUUGUCUCUUCCUGAAACUAAUCCUUCAACCACUUGAUUGGGCAUUCCUUUGACCAGUACCUAAUCCUUAAGACAAUUGUUACACCCUCGAAGAAGAGUAGCACCUCAGUUUCAGAACCUAAUCCUACAGCCAUGUGAUAUGAUUUAUUCUUCUCAAGAUUUCUAAAAGUUUAAAGAUGAAAGAAAGGGGGUUAGUAAAAGCAUCAACCAAAAUCGAUGAGCAUUCAAGUACCCGACAACAAUUAGUCAAUCAAGAAUAGGUGGCACUACCUUCCUCAGCCUAGUGUACGUACAGAGUGACCCAAGAAGGCUAUAGAUUGGAGCUGGCACCACGGCCACCAAUCAAAUGUAACUACAAAUUGUAAAACACGAUCACAAUUUCAAACUACCGCACACCACUUUUCUUCUUGUUUCAUGCAAAACCUCAUCAUCAGCACGUAUGCACAACCAACCUAACAGAACCUAUGCACAAAUGUGUUGUCGGGACCCUAACAUUAGAGGUGUUAUUUCUUUGCCAAUCUGGAAACAUGAAAGUGCAUUCAUCCCUUUUGUGAGUUUUGGUGAUUUGGAUAACAACACAUUUAAAGGUCUAACAAGUUUGCUAAGUGUUGAACGGGAAAUUCAGUAUGAUGAACAUACUUGAAUAGUGUAUAAUGAUCGGUGAACAAGGUUCAACACAAGGUCAAAUAACCAGUGAGACAAUGCAAAUGGAUAUAAUAUGGUCUCUAUAUUGGUUUGAAUAUAUGGACAAGUCCUGAGAAAUCACUAUGCAUAAAUAUGAUCAUAAUAGAGGUUGAAGUGAUUAAGAGGAUUGGUCAAG